GUUGCGCCGACCCCAGGUGACUGGGAAAAGGGCAGGAGAAUGAUGAUGAUAUGAUUUUCUUUAAGCGACACAAUUAAUUAGAUGAGAAAAAUCGUAUAACUACGAGAUCUUCGAAAUAGAUGACCCACUCAACACUGCUGCUACUAAAUAAAUCGAACGCGCGACCUAGAUGAGUCUAGUUUGGAGCCGCAAGCGUCGUCAUAAGUAACAUAAAGGUCCACGCUAACAGCAAUGCGCGCGUAGGCAUCGGCUAGUCAAACAAGCCACUCUGGAUCGCACCCGGCCCGAAAGUACCCAUUACGAUAGCAGCAUUGCCACGCUGUAUCACGUCUUUUAGAUUGUGCAAUAAAUACAGUUCGAAAAUC